rnacentral:rRNA from 1 species
CCUACGGGAGGCAGCAGUGGGGAAUAUUGCACAAUGGGCGCAACUCUGAUGCAGCGACGCCGCGUGAGUGAAGAAGUAUUUCGGAAUGUAAAGCUCUGUCAGCAGGGAAGAAAAUGACGGUACCUGACCAUGAACCCCUUGCUAACUACGUACCAGCAACCGCGGUAUUACGUAGGGGGCAAGCGUGAUCCGGAUUUACUGGGUGUAAAGGGAGCGUAGACGGUAGGGCAAGUCUGGAGUGAAAGGCGGGGGCUCAACCCCGGGACUGCACUGGAAACUGCCAGGCUGGAGUGCAGAAGAGGAGAGUGGAAUUCCUGGUGUAGCGGUGAAAUGCGUAGAUAUAAGGAGGAACACCAGUGGCGAAGGCGACUUACUGGACUGUAACUGACGUUGAGGCUCGAAAGCGUGGGGAGCAAACAGGAUUAGAUACCCGUGUAGUC